rnacentral:sRNA from 1 species
UGCAUCUGCAGCUCAUGAGGAUGAGAACCUCCGGGGGCAGGGAGGUUCGACUCGAGCGAAGCGAGAGAACGUUGCGCCAGCAACGGNNNCCCGCAGGGCGAGCCACGAAGUGGCGAGUAAUCCUCUAUCACCGACCA